CAGGGAAUUGUCAUGGGAAUUUCCAACAUUAGGUUGAAAUAGGGCAGAUGAAUGGGGGAAUGUUUCUAACUCAGCUACUUUGGCCUUAAGUUUAAAAUUAUCAUCUCAAUUCCCUGUAAAUCUAUCUUUAUUGAGUAGACUGUAAUCUGUACUGUGAUAAGUAGGCGGAGAUUAAUUAUGUGGGUUGGACAUAGUGGGCCGAGUUUUGUGGCAGUGGGUGUGGUAAACUUUCAAGGUAGUAAUUGAUAGCUGUGGUGCAAAAUGUCCUUGGAAUUUUU